GCCGGGCAUGGUGGUGCGUGCCUGUAAUCCCAGUUACUCAGGAGGCUGAGGCAGGAGAAUCGCUUGAACCUGGGAGGUGGAGGUUGCAGUGAGCCAAGAUCUCGCCACUGUACUCCAGCUUGGGCAACAGAGUGAGACUCCAGUCUGAGCAACAGAGCGAGACUCUGUAUCAAAAAAUAAAGAAAUAAAAAAUAAAUAUAUAAAUUUUCUUUUUUUUUUUUUCUUUUGAGACAAUCUCGCUAUAUUGCCCAGGUAGGAGUGCAGUGGCGCGAUCUCAGCUCACUGCAACCUCCGCCUCCCAGGUUCAAGCGAUUCCCCUGCCUCAG
rnacentral:SRP_RNA from 1 species